rnacentral:snRNA from 1 species
GACUGGAGGGUAGUCUGGCUAUCAUCCUCAGGGGUAAUCUGGUUAACCUGGCUGGCUAGCCAGGCAUUCCUUCCCAUCCUCACUGUGCCAUGGGCAUCUUGAAGUCUUCUACUCAGUUCAAGAGGACAACCUUUCUGGAUAGAGAAGGGCUGUUCCUUUAUCAAGGGUAUACAGGUAGUUGCACUACCCACUAGGGCUUCCAAACCAGCUCUCAAGAAAAUGGCCAUUAGGUUGAAUAUUUGUUUAAAUGAGAUUUAUUUGAAAAUCUUCUUAUGUAA